AUUGAACGCUGGCGGCAGGCCUAACACAUGCAAGUCGAGCGAGCGGCGGACGGGUGAGUAAUGUCUGGGAAACUGCCUGAUGGAGGGGGAUAACUACUGGAAACGGUAGCUAAUACCGCAUACCAUCAGAUGUGCCCAGAUGGGAUUAGCUAGUAGGUGGGGUAACGGCUCACCUAGGCGACGAUCCCUAGCUGGUCUGAGAGGAUGACCAGCCACACUGUAACUGAGACAGGGUCCAGACUCCUAGGGGAGGCAGCAGUGGGGAAUAUGGAACAAUGGGCGCAAGCCUGAUGCAGCCAGGCGGCGUGUGUGAAGAAGGCCUUCGGGUUGUAAGGCACUUUCAGCGGGGAGGCUUUACCCGCAUAGGAAGCACCGGCUAACUCCGUGCCGGCGGCCGCGGUAAUU
rnacentral:rRNA from 1 species